UAAAUAGUAGCUUAUAAUAUUCUUUUAAAGCAUUGGACUGUUAAUCCAAAGAUGCAAGUAUUGCCUAUUUAG